rnacentral:lncRNA from 1 species
UCUGGGAUCUUUCCCCAUAGCUUUCUUUCUUUGUUCUUUAUCGCCUGAUCUUUCUUUUCGUUGUUGAAUCUCUCUUUGAUUAAUCAAUGUGUGAUAUUCCUUUCCAAGAUAAACCAUUCGAAUGCUACUAAACGAGAAGAAGAGUCUAUUUGAACAGGGCACAUGCAUCACACAUAAGAAAGACGCCGAAAGACAACCAAGAAAUUUGUCCGUUUCGGCCUACUUUGGCCUUUAUACGAUAAAGUACAUCAAGAAGCUUCUAAUUGCAAUAGAAGGGUCCAGGUCAGAAUUUGCAGGUAGUUAGUCGCUUUCUCUGU